ACUAGUUCAUUACUGUAGCUAAUAUGUGUUGCCAGUAGCCUAUUGAUGUGAAGGGAUUUACAAUUUACAGAUCGUGCGUCCAGCAGAGCUCGCACUCGCACUCCCACUGUUAGCUUCAGUCCAUGUCACAUUGAACGCCAUUUAGUCCAACUAGUUCAUAUUGUAUCAUCUGUUGCCAGCCUACUGAUGUGAAGCAAUUUUCAAUUUACAGAUCAUGCAUCCAGCAGAGCUCCCAAUCCUGUUGGCAAAGCGAAGAAGAAAGGUCGUGCAUCCAGCAGAGCUCCGACUCCUAUUGGCAAAGCGAAGAAGAAAGGUCGUGCAUCCAGCAGAGGUUGCGGGGAUGACUGGCAUCAAGCUGGCUGGCAACCAAACAAUUUCCCCUUCACUGCAACCCCUGGACCCCGGAGGGCUGCUGCGGAGCUGGAUAGCGACCUGCCAACUGACUUCCUGACGCUCUUCCUGACUGACGAGCUGCUCCAAAAUAUUGUGGA